rnacentral:lncRNA from 1 species
GAGACUCCACCUCUAAAACAAAAACGAAAACAAACAAACAAAAAAAGUGGAUGAUGGGUGAAGACAAAUGUUUCAAGUCUAUAGAGCUACAAUCAUGACUUAUAAUCCUCGAUCCUAAAGAAUUUAAAAUCCUAUCAGUGGAGAAGACACUUUAGCUAGACCCUGAAAUGGGCCUCAGUUGCAAAGGACAGAGGCUCCAGCCAUGUGCAGGUGUGUGAUACCUGCUGCGGGUCACCUGAUAGAAAGGGACAGGCCAUCCUUAUCCCCCCGGGGCUAAGGCCUGGAGUGCAGACAGGGUGUGCAGAGCAGAACUGGCAGGGGCCGGGCAGAGGCGGCUCUGCUCAUGCUUCUCAUUUCCAGUUAUCAAUGGCAGGGUGAUGACAGGCAACUGUGCAAGGCAACAGCCACUGGCCAUCCUGGCUCCAGGCCCCUUUCCCUUGGCCCCUAACUAACACAGAAGCUGAGGCCACUGAGAGGCUGGGACUCUGAAUCCCACUGCCAUGGCCUGUCCCUUUCUAUCAGGUGACCCACGUGUGCAGGAGGCCUAAGUCCUCCACCAGCCACCAGCCACCUGCCACCUGCCCGUCCCUGUGGCCCAUGGGGUUUCCUAGGCAGGCGGGAAGGGGGCUCCCAUUCUGUGCAGCCCAGGAGGGCACGAGGGUACUGCCUGAUGCGUUCCUAGGGGUGAGCGCGUAUGGGCAGCACCGGGCUCCUCCACUGUCAGUUUUCUGUCCUUGCAGCGACACUGUGAUACAAGCCUGCCCUUCCAUCUUGGGCUCAGGAAACAACGGAGCGGCCACUUCCCUCCCCAGCGAAGAAGAGGCCCCAUGACAGCUCCACCGGGCCUCCCAUGUGGUGCUGCAGAAACUCCACAGGGAAACCUCCCCGUCUUCACAAAUGACUCCACCCACGGCCAGGGGACAAAAAUCCUUUUACUCAGGCUUCGCUUGGGUCUACCUCUGCUGUAUUUUCCACUAAGUGGAAGAGACUUCUGUUCACUUACUCUAUGAGAGAAAAGAAUGGGAGCAACAUUUCCCUCUUGCUGCCCACAUCUGCUCAUUCGAGACUGGCUGCUUUCAGCCUUCUCCAUGCACUUGUCCAUCUGACCCAUGCACACCAAAUGUGACUGGCUGCUGACUCCUGGGAGCAUUUUAAAAUUCUGAAGCAAUUGAGAUUUGCAGAAGAGUUGCAGAGAUAGUACAGAGAGUCCCUGUAUACCCUUCACCCAGACAUCAUGAUGUCAUAUUGACAUUUUAUAAAACUAUGGCACAUUUCUGUGAAAACUAAGAAAUCAACAUUGGUACAGAAAUCAACAUUAUCACAUUGAACUGCAGCCUCCGCUAGAAUCUCACCAGUUUUUCCACUAGUGCAGCUUUUCUGUCCCAGGACCCGCCCCAGGAUACCAGGCUGCACUUCAAAGGAGCCGGUUUUACAAAAAAGCAUGUUGCUUCAAAAGGCAGCUUCAUCCAAGGCAACAGAAGACAGUGAAGCAGAGUACUCAGGAGCCAGCCAGGAGCUCAGGAGACAGGGGAGGGGCUGGAACCCAGCACCGAGGACUGGAGACACCUGUGAAGUCUCCCUAGAAUUAGAUGCCGCCUUCUCCUUUCAGGGGUAACCAAAAUAAAAAUUACCGUCCUCCGGAGCCACCAAUGAAAUCAAGAGCAGUGAGUCACUUAGGCCGUCACCUGUCCUGACAGGGUCUCAUUAACUGAAGGGAGUGGGCACCAGAGGGAAACAGCAAGAGGGGACUAUCCAGGAACUCUGCCCUUUUCCUCAUCUCAACUGAGAAAUGUCACAUAUUUACUGGAUUCCAGAAGCUUCUCGACACCGUGAAGAUAAAAAGUCCCAUGUGGCAUAUUGAUUUCUAAGCGAUAUCCUGGUGCAGGCUGGAUAGAUUCUAUUCUGGAGCUUAUCUGGAAGGGCUUUCUCAUCCCCAGCAUCACAGCGGAGACCCCGGCUCACCCUCACAGGUCUUAGCACACCUGCACAGGCCAGCCCUCACUGCUGACCUCUAACUUACUCAUGGUAUGUUGAUCACCUGAGAGAUCCAUUCCACACAACAUUCUCUUCCAGGCUCCAGAGCCAAAGCACGUAAAGUGUCUUGCCCUGAAGUCAGAACCCGGUUAGCAACAGGCUGGAUUAGACUUUAUGGCCUCUCAAGACUAUUGUGUCAUUCCUGGUCCCUGAUUCACAAGCUCUAUCAGCCAAGGCUGGGGGUUGCAGACAUUGCCUCCUACCUUCAGCAGUGAUCACACAGUAGACACCAGCAGACACAAAGCAUGAGGCCAGUUUCAGAGCUUUCUCUAAAACCCUCUAAUCAAAGACAAACAUUCUUCUUCAGAUAAAAAGAAUGAGACAUUCUCAAACCACUUUCUAGAUGGUGAUCUCUUCAUUAUAUUAUCAACACAGGGUUGAAAAGUUAAAUCUCCAUGGCACUCAGUUUUUCCCUUGAGUUUCUCUAUUAUUUAAACUACACAUCCAUUUUCUUUCCCUCUCCCCAGAAACACAAUUAAACACAGUUCUUUGAUUUUUAUUAUUUUAGCAAAAUCUUUUUUCUAUUCUAGAACCUUUUCCUCUUCACCUCUCUCUCUCUGGUUGUAAACAUAGCCGCCUGGUCGUACAGAGCCUGUUUCCUCUCCUGCGCUUUUCGGUUUACCCUUCCUACCCACCUCUCCUUCUGGGAUGCUGCUGACAAAUCUCUGCUAUUAUUUAUCGUGGCCAAGUCCUACAAGCCACCCAUGGAGGAAGACUUUAACAGCCUCCAGAGAGCUGAGAUAUGCUUGUUUAUCCACGAGCAGAGGAGGAACCCCGUGCUUUUCCCUUCUUCUCAGAGGGCCAUGUUUUGAGCAAUAGCGCUUCAGCUCCAGGAAAUGCAGGAAAGAAUUGUCCUUCCCGAUCCUUACAGAAAGCUCUGGGCCUCGUGCGGCAUGAACACCUCUCCUCCCUGUACCAAAGCCUGCGGAAAGGACUUGCCACCGCAGCUGCCGGCCUGGAGGGCAGGGAAGGCGGUGGCAGCCAACAGGAAGGUCAGGCGAAUUUCCUGGGGCUGGAGCCCCGAGGACAGCCUGGAAACUAAGCGGCAGGGUGGCAGGCAGGGGCCCCGCACUGAUGCCUACGUGAACCCACGUCUAUUGUGGCCCCAGGUCCCGGCCAGAGGUCCUCAGGUGACCACCCAGCCGGCUGCAUAUUUGAUCCCUCAGGCUGCUGCCAGCCUCUGGAGAUAGGUGACAAUGCUCAGAGCGGCUACAGUGAGUGCUUUCAAGCCUCCAUGAAGGUUAGAAUAGGCAGCCGAGGGGAAGUCCCUUAAACAGGCCCAGGGGAUACCUCCUGGCACCCAGGCUGUGCCAGACCCUCCAAGGCGCUUCACAUGCACCCACACACCUCACAGCACCCCCAUCUAUGAGGUGGGUGGGAUGAGUAACACCUCCGUUUUGGGGGAGAGGAGAACUAGGACGCAGAGGCUUGGCGAAUGUCCGCCCCAGGCGGCAGCCCCUCAGCUGCCCACCAGACUGAGAACUGCACCCCGUCACCUGCCUCAAGUCUGGGAUGGGACCCCUGUGUCACACUGCCUUACACGAAGCCAUUUUGUGCAUCUUGGCACCACAUUCAAACAAGGGCACCUUUAGAAAGGGCACCUUGGACAGCAGGGAGUGUGUCCUGAGGUGCCCACACAGAUCACCUGGGUUCACACUGAGUCUAGAGCCCAGGCUGCCCCGUGGGAUUUCGGCUUCCUUUCCUCCCUUUGGGAAGGGUCUUGCUUCUCUCCUUCACUUGCUGCCCCUGAUCCUCACAGUGGGAGAAGCAGAGGAGGAAGGAGGGGGAGAGCCUCCUUCCUAGGAAUCAGUGCCCGCUCCACUGUUAGUCCACGGUCAAGACCAAGAAGAAAGCACCCACACCCCAGGAGACUCAAAGACUGAAACUCAGGAGUGCCCUCCCGGCCACCUUUCAGGCCCUGGGAAGCUCGGUGUGGAGGAAGAGGCCUGGGUUCUAAUCCGUCUCAUUCAGUUACAAAGACAGGAACCUUGGGCGAGGGCUGCAAACCCUUUGUGGCUUUUCUCACCUGUAAAAUGGGGGUAAUAAUAGUUACCUAGCUCAUCAGUGUGCUUGCUUGUGAGGAUUAGAAGCAUUAGUACAGACAAAUUGGCACACAGGAAGUGCCCAAUAAGUAAUCACCAAGGCUCUUCACUGCCCAUCCUAGCUGCUUCCGAAACAAAACAAGCCAAAGGGCUCCCAGCGGCAGCCCUUUUUCCUGAACUGACCUACGCAGGAAAGAGUCCUUGCCACAAUUAAGAAAAAUCUUUAAUCAAUACAGUUGAAAAUUGAAACAUUAUUUCACAAGGAACAGCCAUUAAAGCCAGUGGUUACCAAGAAGUGAGUAAGUAGAAGACCAGCCCCUUGUUGAACGUAACAAACUACAUGUCUCUUAACAACACAUAUUACUAGGUCCCUAGUAAAAUGAUUAAAAAUAUCUAUUUUUUUUGGUUGAGUUAGAAUCUAAAGCCCAGGAAAAUAAAGUGAAUUGGCAAGUAAUCUCAACUGCCUCUCAACCCAAUACUGUAGCUCAGUGGUUCCCAGAUUCUGGUAUCAUGUGGGGAGGCGGAGUCCCGGACUCCACCCUGGAAUGUCUGACCUGAAGGUCUGAGAUGGGGCCUGACUUCUUAACAAGCCUUUCAGGGUUUAGGUCUGGGGGUCUAGGGGGCCUGCACUUUGAGAAGCUCUGCUGGGCAAUCAAUGUUCUUGGUGCCAUCCAAAGAUCAAAGAGUCAAAGAGACUGGGGGUGAGCUUGCAGCAAUGAUGAGGUUUUGGGGAGGCAUAGAGGUGUCCUAUCUGCCUUAGGGCACUUGGCCUCUGUGAAGCCGUAAUUCUUCAGAGUACGGAAACUGGGGCUCUGGAUUUAAGAGAUUAGGGCAGAGCUAUGUUUAGUAACUAGGUUUUUUUUGUUUGUUUGUUUUGUUUUUAGACAGAGUCUUGCUCCGUCGCCCAGACUGGAGAGCAGUGGUGCUAUUUCGGCUUACUGCAACCUCGGCCUCCUGGGUUCAAGCAAUUCUUGUGCCUCAGCCUCCUGAGUAGCUGGAAUUACAGGCAAGCGCCACCAAGCCCGGCUGAUUUUUUUGUAUUUUAGUAGAGACAGGGUUUUACCGUGUUUCUCCCAGGGUGGUCUCGAACUCCUGAGCUCAGGCAAUCCACAGGCCGCGGCCUCCCAAAGUGCUAAGAUUACAGGCGUGAGCCGCCAUGCCCAGGCUAAUACCUAGAUCUUUAGACCUAGGUGCUUGGUGGUCUUUCUACCAAUUUUAGGAUGAGUUCAGAAAAGAAUACCUGGGACUCCCACCAUCCUUAGGCAUGAACAUAUGGAAAUUAUAAAAGUGGCUCUAAGGGACAAAGGGGUGCAGGUGGCAGCACAACCAAAGCACACACAGCCCGAUGUGGUAUUUUCUAGGGAUCGCCCCCUUCUUUGAGUGUGCGUGCGUGCGCGUGCAUGCAUUGCUUCUGGUUCAUAAAUCUGAGCCAAGUCUUACAUGCAGUACAGACCUGUGCAUUAGAAUUCACAGGGUCACUGGGCUAGUUCAAAUAUCUAGGUUCUGAUCUUAAGUCGGGGCUGGGACGAAGAGACAGACCUGAACUGGAAGAAAACUUUGGCCUGGAGUGCUCUGGUCAAAGUCUCCGAGUCCUCCUCUUACUUCCCAAACCGAGCUUUGAACCGGAACCAACAGCAGCGGAAAAGUAAAGUUAGCAGCUCUUCCCCAAGUGGGAGUAGCUCCUCAUCACUCACUGCCUUUAAAAUCCUGGUUUGUUUUACAUCAGGGCAGAACGAUGUAAAAACAACAGAAUUCAAAUGAAAUCAUGAACACGUUU